GGUGAAAAGCACCCCGGAAGGGGAGUGAAAUAGAACCUGAAACCGUGUGCUUACAAGUAGUCAGAGCCCGUUAAUGGGUGAUGGCGUGCCUUUUGUAGAAUGAACCGGCGAGUUACGAUUUGAUGCAAGGUUAAGCAGUAAAUGUGGAGCCGUAGCGAAAGCGAGUCUGAAUAGGGCGUUUAGUAUUUGGUCGUAGACCCGAAACCAGGUGAUCUACCCUUGGUCAGGUUGAAGUUCAGGUAACACUGAAUGGAGGACCGAACCGACUUACGUUGAAAAGUGAGCGGAUGAACUGAGGGUAGCGGAGAAAUUCCAAUCGAACCUGGAGAUAGCUGGUUCUCUCCGAAAUAGCUUUAGGGCUAGCCUCAAGUGAUGAUUAUUGGAGGUAGAGCACUGUUUGGACGAGGGGCCCCUCUCGGGUUACCGAAUUCAGACAAACUCCGAAUGCCAAUUAAUUUAACUUGGGAGUCAGAACAUGGGUGAUAAGGUCCGUGUUCGAAAGGGAAACAGCCCAGACCACCAGCUAAGGUCCCAAAAUAUAUGUUAAGUGGAAAAGGAUGUGGCGUUGCCCAGACAACUAGGAUGUUGGCUUAGAAGCAGCCAUCAUUUAAAGAGUGCGUAAUAGCUCACUAGUCGAGUGACACUGCGCCGAAAAUGUACCGGGGCUAAACAUAUUACCGAAGCUGUGGAUUGUCCUUUGGACAAUGGUAGGAGAGCGUUCUAAGGGCGUUGAAGC
rnacentral:rRNA from 1 species